CACCAAUAUAACAAAAGAAUAUAGAAGAUGUACAUGAUUUUUCAAGUCCUCUCGAUAAAAUCUAUGAAUAAUAAUAAUAAUAAACUAAUUAACACUGAAAAGUCUUGGAUAUCAUCAUAAAUCUAUACACUAUAUGUAUAUCCAAGAACUUUCCUAUGAUUCCUAAUAAUGUUUAUAAUAUAAAUGUAAAUAAAUCAGUAUUUUUUUUUAUAAUAAAAAACAAACAAAACAUAUAUAAUUUGGUAUGCAACUACUAUAUCUAUGAUGCUUAUGAUCCCAAGAUAAAAAAAGCCAUGGAUCGCAAACUAUAUCUUCAAUUCCUCUCAUCAUCUUCUUCAAGAUUCUUCAACUUCAAUAGUCCCAAAAACUAUCCAAAUCUGAGAGAGGUGCAACUGAUGAAGGACCUUCAAGAUCAUCAUACAAUGCCCUAUUCCUUUCCAUGUCUAGUUUCGAUACAGCCGAUGAAGUGUCAUUGCUGAGACCUGUAUCUUGUGAUUGGUUUGAAGAGAAUUGUUCCACCUUGCACUCAUUAUUCUUACCUGAGCCAUAAACAUUUGUUGGCAUGGAACUUUGCAUCCUAUUUUGAUACAUAAAGUAGUUCAAGUUUGGAUUUUGGAUUCGGAUUUGAGGUUGUGGUAAAGUGUUUCCAAUUGGGUUGUUGAGAUUGGAUUGGUUGGAAAUGGAAGUGUAGUUCAUCAUGGUUGGAUUAAUCUCAUGUUGAUCAUAGUUGAUUCUAUGGUAAUUAUCUUCUGGCUUGAUGAGAAAUUGAUGUUGAUUAUUGUUGAUGGAGAAGCUUGGAAGAUAAUAUCCAUCUGAUUGUGAUUUAGUUGAUGAAAUUUGUUGAUUUGUGGUAAUUCCUUUGAAAUCAUCAUUUGUGUAAGAAGGAUCCAUGAGAGGUGGAAGUGAAGAAUAAUCAAGAAGAUCAUCAUGACCAAUUGAGUUUAUCCUUAAAAGACCAGAAGAAAUUUGAGGUUUUUUAACAUCUGUGUUCUUGUGAAAAACCCUUGACACAACCCAUUCAUCCUACACAAAUAACAAAAAAACAAAACUUUAGUUUCUUGAAAAUUGAUAUAACAAAAACCAUAUAAUCAUUAAAAGGAACUAUAUGAAAGAAACUCUCAAACCAACACACGAAAAAAGUAGUCACUUUCUAAAAAGUGGUAAAGGUGCAAAUUAUGGAUUGAUGAGAAAAUGAUCCAUGAUUGAAUUCUAUCUCUAUAAAUCAUCAAAGUCAUGAUAAAUAAAAAAAAUGGUAAAUCAAUUUGCUUUUUAUAUAUAGAUUCUCUACGGCUGCUCUACGAUGCAUCUAACUCUGAUGCACCGUAACACAGCCGUCGAGGAUCUGAGUUCAUUGAUCGGUACCUUUUCUUUGUUGGGAAGAUUGUGAGUUGCAAAUUUGCCUUCCAAUCUGAAUUCAUGCAUAACCCAAUUAGUCUUCUCUCCUUUUGGAGCUCUUCCUUUAUAGAACACAAGAGUCUUCUUCAUACCAACAAGGUUUUGGAUUCCUUUUCCUUUGUGAUAAAUCUCUUUGUCUUUUCCUGUAGCUUUCCAGUAACCAGAUUCAGUUGCUCUAUUUGUUCUCAUACCUGUUGGAUAUUUUCUAUCUUUCUGACAAAAAAAGUACCAUUCUUUCUCUCCCAUCUUUGCUUUCUCUGCAUUUAAUCAUUUCAUCACAUGGUUAACAAAAACAUCAAUAAUUAUUCAUGACAUCAUUUAAUAAUUAUUAGAUUUUAUCAAACAGUUAUAAUCAACAAAUUUACAAAUAAAACAAAUCAAAAUAAUCAUAAUAAUUAAACUUACUUGGUAAGUCCCAAGGUUCACACUUGUUCAAAUCAGCUUCACCAAUAGCAGUUGCACUGAAUUUGCUAUUUUUAACCUUUUCAGUGAGAUAACAAACAAUUAUCUCAGCAUCUGUUGGAUGGAAUCUGAAACCUGGAGGAAGAUCAAGAGUUUGAUCUUCACCUUUGUUAACAACAAUUGGUUCUUCCAUUUUUUCUACACAGGAUUUUCAAGAUGAAAAUCUUUCACAACAAAACAAAAGAAGAGAGUGAUGAAGAUGAAGAAAUUAAGAACAGAAAGAGAUUGAUUGAUUGAUACAGAAGAAGAAUAA
rnacentral:lncRNA from 1 species